rnacentral:tRNA from 1 species
GUCCAGGGAUGGGAAUCGAACCUACAAUGUUCCGCUUACCGGGCAGAUGCCAUGUCCACUAGGCUACCCUGGA